GGUUAAGCGACUAAGCGUACACGGUGGAUGCCCUGGCAGUCAGAGGCGAUGAAGGACGUGCUAAUCUGCGAUAAGCGUCGGUAAGGUGAUAUGAACCGUUAUAACCGGCGAUUUCCGAAUGGGGAAACCCAGUGUGUUUCGACACACUAUCAUUAACUGAAUCCAUAGGUUAAUGAGGCGAACCGGGGGAACUGAAACAUCUAAGUACCCCGAGGAAAAGAAAUCAACCGAGAUUCCCCCAGUAGCGGCGAGCGAACGGGGAGCAGCCCAGAGCCUGAAUCAGUGUGUGUGUUAGUGGAAGCGUCUGGAAAGGCGCGCGAUACAGGGUGACAGCCCCGUACACAAAAAUGCACAUGCUGUGAGCUCGAUGAGUAGGGCGGGACACGUGGUAUCCUGUCUGAAUAUGGGGGGACCAUCCUCCAAGGCUAAAUACUCCUGACUGACCGAUAGUGAACCAGUACCGUGAGGGAAAGGCGAAAAGAACCCCGGCGAGGGGAGUGAAAAAGAACCUGAAACCGUGUACGUACAAGCAGUGGGAGCACGCUUAGGCGUGUGACUGCGUACCUUUUGUAUAAUGGGUCAGCGACUUAUAUUCUGUAGCAAGGUUAACCGAAUAGGGGAGCCGAAGGGAAACCGAGUCUUAACUGGGCGUUAAGUUGCAGGGUAUAGACCCGAAACCCGGUGAUCUAGCCAUGGGCAGGUUGAAGGUUGGGUAACACUAACUGGAGGACCGAACCGACUAAUGUUGAAAAAUUAGCGGAUGACUUGUGGCUGGGGGUGAAAGGCCAAUCAAACCGGGAGAUAGCUGGUUCUCCCCGAAAGCUAUUUAGGUAGCGCCUCGUGAACUCAUCUCCGGGGGUAGAGCACUGUUUCGGCAAGGGGGUCAUCCCGACUUACCAACCCGAUGCAAACUGCGAAUACCGGAGAAUGUUAUCACGGGAGACACACGGCGGGUGCUAACGUCCGUCGUGAAGAGGGAAACAACCCAGACCGCCAGCUAAGGUCCCAAAGUCAUGGUUAAGUGGGAAACGAUGUGGGAAGGCCCAGACAGCCAGGAUGUUGGCUUAGAAGCAGCCAUCAUUUAAAGAAAGCGUAAUAGCUCACUGGUCGAGUCGGCCUGCGCGGAAGAUGUAACGGGGCUAAACCAUGCACCGAAGCUGCGGCAGCGACGCUUAUGCGUUGUUGGGUAGGGGAGCGUUCUGUAAGCCUGUGAAGGUGUACUGUGAGGUAUGCUGGAGGUAUCAGAAGUGCGAAUGCUGACAUAAGUAACGAUAAAGCGGGUGAAAAGCCCGCUCGCCGGAAGACCAAGGGUUCCUGUCCAACGUUAAUCGGGGCAGGGUGAGUCGACCCCUAAGGCGAGGCCGAAAGGCGUAGUCGAUGGGAAACAGGUUAAUAUUCCUGUACUUGGUGUUACUGCGAAGGGGGGACGGAGAAGGCUAUGUUGGCCGGGCGACGGUUGUCCCGGUUUAAGCGUGUAGGCUGGUUUUCCAGGCAAAUCCGGAAAAUCAAGGCUGAGGCGUGAUGACGAGGCACUACGGUGCUGAAGCAACAAAUGCCCUGCUUCCAGGAAAAGCCUCUAAGCAUCAGGUAACAUCAAAUCGUACCCCAAACCGACACAGGUGGUCAGGUAGAGAAUACCAAGGCGCUUGAGAGAACUCGGGUGAAGGAACUAGGCAAAAUGGUGCCGUAACUUCGGGAGAAGGCACGCUGAUAUGUAGGUGAAGCGACUUGCUCGUGGAGCUGAAAUCAGUCGAAGAUACCAGCUGGCUGCAACUGUUUAUUAAAAACACAGCACUGUGCAAACACGAAAGUGGACGUAUACGGUGUGACGCCUGCCCGGUGCCGGAAGGUUAAUUGAUGGGGUUAGCGCAAGCGAAGCUCUUGAUCGAAGCCCCGGUAAACGGCGGCCGUAACUAUAACGGUCCUAAGGUAGCGAAAUUCCUUGUCGGGUAAGUUCCGACCUGCACGAAUGGCGUAAUGAUGGCCAGGCUGUCUCCACCCGAGACUCAGUGAAAUUGAACUCGCUGUGAAGAUGCAGUGUACCCGCGGCAAGACGGAAAGACCCCGUGAACCUUUACUAUAGCUUGACACUGAACAUUGAGCCUUGAUGUGUAGGAUAGGUGGGAGGCUUAGAAGUGUGGACGCCAGUCUGCAUGGAGCCGACCUUGAAAUACCACCCUUUAAUGUUUGAUGUUCUAACGUUGACCCGUAAUCCGGGUUGCGGACAGUGUCUGGUGGGUAGUUUGACUGGGGCGGUCUCCUCCUAAAGAGUAACGGAGGAGCACGAAGGUUGGCUAAUCCUGGUCGGACAUCAGGAGGUUAGUGCAAUGGCAUAAGCCAGCUUGACUGCGAGCGUGACGGCGCGAGCAGGUGCGAAAGCAGGUCAUAGUGAUCCGGUGGUUCUGAAUGGAAGGGCCAUCGCUCAACGGAUAAAAGGUACUCCGGGGAUAACAGGCUGAUACCGCCCAAGAGUUCAUAUCGACGGCGGUGUUUGGCACCUCGAUGUCGGCUCAUCACAUCCUGGGGCUGAAGUAGGUCCCAAGGGUAUGGCUGUUCGCCAUUUAAAGUGGUACGCGAGCUGGGUUUAGAACGUCGUGAGACAGUUCGGUCCCUAUCUGCCGUGGGCGCUGGAGAACUGAGGGGGGCUGCUCCUAGUACGAGAGGACCGGAGUGGACGCAUCACUGGUGUUCGGGUUGUCAUGCCAAUGGCACUGCCCGGUAGCUAAAUGCGGAAGAGAUAAGUGCUGAAAGCAUCUAAGCACGAAACUUGCCCCGAGAUGAGUUCUCCCUGACUCCUUGAGAGUCCUGAAGGAACGUUGAAGACGACGACGUUGAUAGGCCGGGUGUGUAAGCGCAGCGAUGCGUUGAGCUAACCGGUACUAAUGAACCGUGAGGCUUAACCUU
rnacentral:rRNA from 1 species